rnacentral:rRNA from 1 species
AAUACCGCGUAACACCUUUUGGGAGCAUUCCCGGGAGGUUAAAGGAGAGAUCCGGCAUAGGAUGGACAUGCGUCGCAUUAGGUAGACGGCGGGGUAACGGCCCACCGUGCCGACGAUGCGUAGGGGUUCUGAGAGGAAGGCCCCCCACACUGGUACUGAGACACGGACCAGACUCCUACGGGAGGCAGCAGUGAGGAAUAUUGGUCAAUGGCCGAGAGGCUGAACCAGCCAAGUCGCGUGAGGGAAGAAUGUCCUAAGGAUUGUAAACCUCUUUUGUCGGGGAGCAAAAAGGCUCUGCGGAGUCGUAUUGAGAGUACCCGAAGAAAAAGCAUCGGCUAACUCCGUGCCAGCAGCCGCGGUAAUACGGAGGAUGCGAGCGUUAUCCGGAUUUAUUGGGUUUAAAGGGUGCGCAGGCGGCGUGUCAAGCAAGCGGUAAAAUAGCGGGGCUCAACCCCGUCGAGCCGUUUGAACUGGCGCGCUUGAGUUCAGGCGAGGUAGGCGGAAUUCGUGGUGUAGCGGUGAAAUGUAUAGAUAUCACGAAGAACUCCGAUUGCGAAGGCAGCUUACCAGUCUGCGACUGACGCUCAGGCACGAAAGUGUGGGUAUCGAACAGGAUUAGAUACCCUGGUAGUCCACACAGUAAACGAUGAGCGCUAGGUGUCCGGGUCGCAUGAGACUUGGGUGCCCGAGC